GGAGCCUUGGUGUGCUCUGAUGAAUUUAAUCGUAUAGAGCUGGAGAGUUCAGAUCGCCGGGAGUUACACUCUUUUUGCAACGAUUUCCUACCUCACGCCAUCAAAGGCUCACAAGCGCUGGCUGAAUACACCACUGCUCAAAAAGAAAACCGAGAUAAAGAGUAACCCUGAAGUGAAGUUGGAAACAACGUGUUCCCGGCACUUUUUUCCCCUACCCUAUAUGACAGCACCAUAUCUUUGAUACGAGACUUCCAGUAGGCAACCUUUUU
rnacentral:lncRNA from 1 species